UACGAGCGGCCCAACCGUUAUUCGGAAUUACUGGGCUUAAAGAGUUCGUAGGCGGCAUGAAAAGUAGGGUGUGAAAGCCCUCGGCUCAACCGAGGAAUUGCGCUCUAAACUGUCGUGCUCGAGGAACCUAGAGGUGAGCAGAACAGAUGGUGGAGCGGUGAAAUGCGUUGAUAUCAUCUGGAAUACCGGAGGCGAAGGCGGCUCACUGGGGGUUUUCUGACGCUGAGGAACGAAAGCCAGGGUAGCGAACGGG
rnacentral:rRNA from 1 species